rnacentral:rRNA from 1 species
UACGUAGGUGGCAAGCGUUGUUCGGAAUUACUGGGCGUAAAGGGCGCGUAGGCGGUCUCGUAAGUCCCGCGUGAAAUCCCCCGGCUCAACUGGGGAAUGGCGCGGGAAACUGCAGGGCUUGAGUUCGGGAGAGGGAAGCGGAAUUCCGGGUGUAGCGGUGAAAUGCGUAGAUAUCCGGAGGAACACCGGUGGCGAAGGCGGCUUCCUGGACCGACACUGACGCUGAGGCGCGAAAGCUAGGGGAGCAAACGGG